CAAUCUAACCAAGGGGACCUAAUCAACCCGUCCUUCCUCCCCCACUCCUCCUCCUCAGAAUAAAUCCACGUCCUGCUUCCACACAAACUUUUCAUGGGAAUUGGCAUCUGAUAUUAAAUACCUCCUUCUGACUUUGCAGGAGCAGUGUGAGCCCCCAGAAGGUAACACAAGAGCUUGUGCUACUUGACAGAAAGAGGCAAACCUCUGCAAUAAGCAACUCAGGAGACCUAAAAGAAGAGGACACCUCAUCAGGGAUCAUCACCUCCACCAGAUGGGCCAUUAAGAGAGAGACACAUGCACGUCCUUGCACAAGAAAAGAGAUUCUUCACCUUCUGCCAUCGUAUUGUCACAGCAGCUCAUGUUUAUUGUGAAUGACAUCUUCAGCUACAACUCAGCAUGAGCUCCAGCAUGCUGGAGCUGAACAUCCUACCAGGAAAAAUCAGCAGUGACAUUAAAAUUGUUUCAUGAAUAAUGAAAAAAUAAAUAUCACAUUAACUGCA
rnacentral:lncRNA from 1 species